AGAGUUUGAUCCUGGCUCAGAUUGAACGCUGGCGGCAUGCCUUACACAUGCAAGUCGAACGGCAGCGCGGGGCAACCUGGCGGCGAGUGGCGAACGGGUGAGUAAUAUAUCGGAACGUACCCUGGAGUGGGGGAUAACGUAGCGAAAGUUACGCUAAUACCGCAUACGAUCCAAGGAUGAAAGCAGGGGACCGCAAGGCCUUGUGCUCCUGGAGCGGCCGAUAUCUGAUUAGCUAGUUGGUGGGGUAAAGGCCUACCAAGGCAUCGAUCAGUAGCUGGUCUGAGAGGACGACCAGCCACACUGGAACUGAGACACGGUCCAGACUCCUACGGGAGGCAGCAGUGGGGAAUUUUGGACAAUGGGCGAAAGCCUGAUCCAGCAAUGCCGCGUGAGUAAAGAAGGCCUUCGGG
rnacentral:rRNA from 1 species